CAUGCACUCUAACAUAUGAUGGUAUGGGCUUGGAAGGGACCUACCCCUUGGAACUGACAGCUGAGGAUUUCCCAAGGCAAACAGUGAUCCUGACAGCUGGGGCUUGGAUGCAGGAGAUCCAUCCAUACAGUGCUUCAAAUGCAGAAUGGAACCAGGCUCUGAGCUCUGUUCCUCUGCAGUUCACUUUAACAGUGGAAAAGCCAGUGGAGGACUGUUCUUUUGGGAUCAGAAGGCCUACAUUUCCCAGACCAACCCCAGACAACGGAGAAAGGAUCAGCAUCCUGCCAUAUGAAGAGGUUUCCUUUACAGUGAUAGCUGCCAACACAAGAGAAAGGAUAAGUGAUGUGCAGGUCCUGGGUCCCUCUGGGUUGCACACAUGGGUGCUCACUGAGGAGAGUACCAGCACUGCAUCUGUGAACAUCACCUGGGAAAACAGCAACAGCAGGAGGCCCGGCCAGGCUUCUGUGUGUUUCGUGGCCACUACGCUGUCAGGGUGAGGACUGUCAAAGGCCAUCGUGGGCUCUGUUGCUCAAUUUUGAUUUCAGUGUAAUGGAGAGAAGCCUACAGUCUGACCUAUACAAC